GAGGAAAGUCCGGGCAACACAGAGCGUCCCACUUCCUAACAGAAAGCUGUCCGUGAGGGUAGAGUAACGUAGAAGAAAAUAACCGCCGUCGCCCUUGGGCUACGGUAAGGGUGAGAAGGUGGGGUAAGAGCCUACCAGUCUUGUGGCGACACAAGGGCUGUGCGUCUUGGGAGUUGUAAGGUCAUGUAAACCGACGUUAUGAGAGUUGCUCGCUCCAUGUCGGAGGGUAGACCGCUAAAGCUUGUAUGGUGACAUGCGGCUCAGAUAAAUGACAGACACUUCUUUAAUGGAGAAUGGAUAAUGAAGAA
rnacentral:RNase_P_RNA from 2 species